rnacentral:rRNA from 1 species
CCUACGGGUGGCAGCAGUGAGGAAUAUUGGUCAAUGGACGAGAGUCUGAACCAGCCAAGUAGCGUGAAGGAUGACUGCCCUAUGGGUUGUAAACUUCUUUUAUAUGGGAAUAAAAUGUUCCACGUGUGGGAUUUUGUAUGUACCAUAUGAAUAAGGAUCGGCUAACUCCGGGCCAGCAGCCGCGGUAAUACGGAGGAUCCGAGCGUUAUCCGGAUUUAUUGGGUUUAAAGGGAGCGUAGGUGGAUUGUUAAGUCAGUUGUGAAAGUUUGCGGCUCAACCGUAAAAUUGCAGUUGAAACUGGCAGUCUUGAGUACAGUAGAGGUGGGCGGAAUGCGUGGUGUAGCGGUGAAAUGCUUAGAUAUCACGAAGAACUCCGAUUGCGAAGGCAGUUCACUGGACUGCAACUGACACUGAGGCUCGAAAGUGUGGGUAUCAAACAGGAUUAGAUACCCCAGUAGUC